rnacentral:rRNA from 1 species
AUUGAACGCUGGCGGCAGGCCUAACACAUGCAAGUCGAGCGGAUGAAGGGAGCUUGCUCCUGGAUUCAGCGGCGGACGGGUGAGUAAUGCCUAGGAAUCUGCCUGGUAGUGGGGGAUAACGUCCGGAAACGGGCGCUAAUACCGCAUACGUCCUGAGGGAGAAAGUGGGGGAUCUUCGGACCUCACGCUAUCAGAUGAGCCUAGGUCGGAUUAGCUAGUUGGUGGGGUAAAGGCCUACCAAGGCGACGAUCCGUAACUGGUCUGAGAGGAUGAUCAGUCACACGGGAACUGAGACACGGUCCAGACUCCUACGGGAGGCAGCAGUGGGGAAUAUUGGACAAUGGGCGAAAGCCUGAUCCAGCCAUGCCGCGUGUGUGAAGAAGGUCUUCGGAUUGUAAAGCACUUUAAGUUGGGAGGAAGGGCAGUAAGUUAAUACCUUGCUGUUGUGACGUUACCAACAGAAUAAGCACCGGCUAACUUCGUG